rnacentral:rRNA from 2 species
UCAGGUAGGAAUACCCGCUGAACUUAAG